CCAACGGCCCUUUUCAGGGCCACCUACCCAGCCAGGAGAAAGAGU
rfam:Callithrix jacchus chromosome 4, whole genome shotgun sequence